rnacentral:rRNA from 1 species
AAGGAUCAUUACAUUUAGUAGCUUGCUACUGCUAAGAGGGUCUGUUAGGCUGUAUAGUAUUGCUACUGACGAGCAGCAUGAUCCUCUAAGUCAACCCUUGUCUUUUGCGUACCUACGUUUCCUCAGCGGGUAUAACCCGCUGGCUGGACAAAAUUAAAACCCUUGAAUAUUCAAUCAGUGUCUGAGAAACUUAAUAAUUACAACUUUCAACAACGGAUCUCUUGGUUCUGGCAUCGAUGAAGAACGCAGCGAAAUGCGAUAAGUAGUGUGAAUUGCAGAAUUCAGCGAAUCAUCGAAUCUUUGAACGCACAUUGCGCCCCUUGGUAUUCCAUGGGGCAUGCCUGUUCGAGCGUCAUUUGUACCCUCAAGCUCUGCUUGGUGUUGGGUGUUUGUCUAUGCUUUUGCUUGGACUCACCUCAAAGCAAUUGGCAGCCAGUGUUUUGGCAUAGAAGCGCAGCACAUCUUGCACUUCCAGUCUUAAACACCAGCUUCCAGUAAGUCCCUUUACGUUUGACCUCGGAUCAGGUAGGGAUACCCGCUGAACUUAAGCAUAUCAAUAAGCGGAGGAAAAGAAACCAACAGGGAUUGCCUUAGUAACGGCGAGUGAAGCGGCAACAGCUCAAAUUUGAAAUCUGGCUCUCUUAGGGCCCGAGUUGUAAUUUGCAGAGGGCGCUUUGGUGUCGGCAGCGGUCCAAGUUCCUUGGAACAGGACGUCACAGAGGGUGAGAAUCCCGUACGUGGUCGCUAGCCUUUGCCGUGUAAAGCCCCUUCGACGAGUCGAGUUGUUUGGGAAUGCAGCUUCUAAAUGGGAGGUAAAUUUCUUCUAAAGCUAAAUACUGGCCAGAGACCGAUAGCGCACAAGUAGAGUGAUCGAAAGAUGAAAAGCACUUUGGAAAGAGAGUCAAAUAGCACGUGAAAUUGUUGAAAGGGAAGCGCUUGCAGCCAGACUUGCCUGUAGUAGUUUAUCUAGACUUUUGUCUAGUGCACUCUUCUGCAGGCAGGCCAGCAUCAGUCUAGGCGAUUGGAUAAAGGUCUCUAUCACGUACCUCUCUUUGGGGAGGCCUUAUAGGGGAGACGUCAUGCAACCAGUCUGGACUGAGGUCUGCGCAUCUGCUAGGAUGCUGGCGUAAUGGCUGUAAGCGGCC